UACGUAGGGUGCGAGCGUUAAUCGGAAUUACUGGGCGUAAAGCGUGCGCCGGCGGUUUUGUAAGCCAGAUGUGAAAGCCCCGGGCUCAACCUGGGAAUGGCAUUUGGGACUGCAAGGCUUGAGUGCGGCAGAGGAGACUGGAAUUCCUGGUGUAGCAGUGAAAUGCGUAGAUAUCAGGAGGAACACCGAUGGCGAAGGCAGGUCUCUGGGCUGACACCGACGCUCAUGCACGAAAGCGUGGGGAGCAAACAGG
rnacentral:rRNA from 1 species